AUGGCUCAUUAUAUAAGUUAUCGUUUAUUUGAUAGCACCUUACUACUUGGAUAACCGUGGUAAUUCUAGAGCUAAUACAUGCUGAAAAUCCCGACUUCGGAAGGGAUGUAUUUAUUGGAUUAAAAACCAAUGCCCUCUGGGCUCUCUGGUGAUUCACGAUAACUUCUCGAAUCGCAUGGCCUUGCGCCGGCGAUGGUUCAUUCAAAUUUCUUCCCUAUCAACUUUCGAUGUUUGGGUAGUGGCCAAACAUGGUUGCAACGGGUAACGGAGGGUUAGGGCUCGACCCCGGAGAAGGAGCCUGAGAAACGGCUACUACAUCCAAGGAAGGCAGCAGGCGCGCAAAUUACCCAAUCCCGACACGGGGAGGUAGUGACAAUAAAUACUGAUACAGGGCUCUUUUGGGUCUUGUAAUUGGAAUGAGUACAAUUUAAAUCCCUUAACGAGGAACAAUUGGAGGGCAAGUCUGGUGCCAGCAGCCGCGGUAAUUCCAGCUCCAAUAGCGUAUAUUAAAGUUGUUGUGGUUAAAAAGCUCGUAGUUGAACCUUGGGCCUGGCUGGCCGGUCCGCCUCACCGCGUGCACUGGUCCGGCCGGGCCUUUCCCUCUGUGGAACCCCAUGCCCUUCACUGGGCGUGGCGGGGAAACAGGACCUUUACUUUGAAAAAAUUAGAGUGCUCCAGGCAGGCCUAUGCUCGAAUACAUUAGCAUGGAAUAAUGAAAUAGGACGUGCGGUUCUAUUUUGUUGGUUUCUAGGACCGCCGUAAUGAUUAAUAGGGACAGUCGGGGGCAUCAGUAUUCAAUUGUCAGAGGUGAAAUUCUUGGAUUUAUUGAAGACUAACUACUGCGAAAGCAUUUGCCAAGGAUGUUUUCAUUAAUCAGGAACGAAAGUUAGGGGAUCGAAGACGAUCAGAUACCGUCGUAGUCUUAACCAUAAACUAUGCCGACUAGGGAUCGGACGAUGUUAUUUUUUGACUCGUUCGGCACCUUACGAGAAAUCAAAGUGCUUGGGCUCCAGGGGGAGUAUGGUCGCAAGGCUGAAACUUAAAGAAAUUGACGGAAGGGCACCACCAGGGGUGGAGCCUGCGGCUUAAUUUGACUCAACA
rnacentral:rRNA from 2 species